GGCUGGUCCAAGUGCAGUAGUUUUCACAACUAAUUGAUCACAGCCAGUUAUAGAUUUCUUUGUUCCUUCGCCAGUCCCACUGCUUCACUGACUACCAAAA
rnacentral:Y_RNA from 1 species